GUUUGGUGGCUUGAAAAUUGCCUGUUUCAGAAGAAAACCAAAGAUAAACACGAGUAAAGCUUAAGAAAUAAGCAUGAAAUUAUCAGCAGUAAUCUAAAAUUUGAAAUAAUGAAAAGAAAAAUGCAUGUUGGAAUGCAAAAUGUCUAAUUCUAAUUGGAUAAUACUAGAACACAAGCGAUAUAAAAGAUCCAGAAUCUACCUUACUACUAGUGAAU
rnacentral:misc_RNA from 1 species